GGAGGAUCAUUAUCGUAGGGCUUCGGCCCUGUCGAGAUAGAACCCUUGCCUUUUUGAGUACCUUUCGUUUCCUCGGCAGGCUCGCCUGCCAAUGGGGACCACAAAAAACACUUUGCAGUACCUGUAACAGUCUGAACAAACAAAACAAAAAUUAAAACUUUCAACAACGGAUCUCUUGGUUCUGGCAUCGAUGAAGAACGCAGCGAAAUGCGAUAAGUAGUGUGAAUUGCAGAAUUCAGUGAAUCAUCGAAUCUUUGAACGCACAUUGCGCCCUUUGGUAUUCCUUAGGGCAUGCCUGUUCGAGCGUCAUUUAAACCUUCAAGCUAAGCUUGGUGUUGGGUGACUGUCCGCUUCACUGCGGACUCGCCUCAAAAUUAUUGGCGGCCGGUACAUUGGCUUCGAGCGCAGCAGAAACGCGAACUCGGGCCCGUCGUAUUGGCUCCCAGAAGCUAUCUUCACAAUUUUGACCUCGGAUCAGGUAGGGAUACCCGCCGAACUUAAGCAUAUCAAUAAGCGGAGGA
rnacentral:rRNA from 1 species